UCGCUGCAGCCUGUUAAAGGAUGGAGAGGAAAGUCCGGGCAACAUAGAGCAAUACGCUUCCUAACGGGAAGGCUAUUUUAGAAAUAAAAUAGACAGCAAGUGCCACAGAAAAUAUACCGCCUUUUUAAGGUAAGGGUGAAAACGUGAGGUAAGAGCUCACGGGCUUGCAUGGUGACAUGCAUUUCGGUAAACCUCGUAUGUUGAAAGACCAAAUAGGUUGCAAGAAUCGAAAGCUGCUCGUUUUCUACCUUCGGGUGCUUGCAAUGGGUAGGUUGAUGGAGUUUGCAUGCGAAUGCAGACCUAGAUAAAUGAUAGAAGCCCCAGAUGGGGGAACAGAAUCCGGCUUAUAAGGU
rnacentral:RNase_P_RNA from 1 species